GAUGAACGCUAGCGGCAGGCCUAAUACAUGCAAGUCGGACGGGAUUCAGGAGCUUGCUUCUGAUGAGAGUGGCGCACGGGUGCGUAACACGUAUGUAACCUACCUUUAUCAGGGGGAUAGCCUCUCGAAAGAGAGAUUAAGCCCGCAUAAAAUCACAGCACAGCAUUGUGUAAUGAUCAAAUAUUUAUAGGAUAAAGAUGGGCAUGCGGAACAUUAGCUAGAUGGCGGGGUAACGGCCCACCAUGGCGACGAUGUUUAGGGGAUCUGAGAGGAUGGCCCCCCAGACUGGUACUGCGACCCGGACCAGACUCCGACGGGAGGCAGCAGUAAGGAAUAUUGGUCAAUGGGCGGAAGCCUGAACCAGCCAUGCCGCGUGCAGGAAGACGGCCCUACGGGUUGUAAACUGCUUUUAUACGGGAAUAAACCCAGAUACGUGUAUCUGGCUGAAUGUACUGUAAGAAUAAGGAUCGGCUAACUCCGUG
rnacentral:rRNA from 1 species